CAGCCGCCAUCUUGAAUACACGUGUCAUUCGUGACCUCACCGGAAAUUCGCUAUACCCCUAGGAGCAGGUACUCUGGCCGAGGGUGCCAAACCAUUCCAUCUGACUGAGACAGUAGACAGAUUGAUACACAAGGCAUCCCAUCCAUCAGUAUGAUUAUCAGAGGAAACCAGGGCCUUGCUGUCCAAUUCAGAGCGACAAGCAACACUCUGUGACUCUAUGAUGGACUCGAUGAGACACUUGAACAGAAUUUCAGUGUUCAUUUCCUGAUAAUGUAGGUGUAUAUUCAUCUUUUGAUCUCAAACCCAAGUGUCUUCAGUGUAUAGCAAAACAAAAUAAUUGGCCUUGCCAUUUCAAUACUUAAUAGGGGACUGUAUGUACCAUGCAUGUAAAUGUAUUAGGAUUCCUCAAAUGAAGUGCAAUAUUUUUGCACCAUGAUCUUUUUAAUUCUGGUAUAGACAUGGUCCAGAAUCCCAUGAUUACUAAUACAGACAUAUAAUAAUAUGACCGAGUAGAAAAAUUGUGGAGAAUUCACUUAAAUAACCACCCCUGCAUUGUGUACCAUGAAUGUUGAAAUUUUUUAUUUGGUUGUAGCUGUUUUGAGAAGGGAAAAUUUUUCUAGUCUUAAAUGUUAAAAGAACAAACCUCUAUUAUACUAAAUAGAAAAAGAGUACUUGUUAAAUCAGUUCACACAUAUAACCUUGGCCAUCAAAGGAAAACAUAAAAAUAAAAAAAUACACAAGAUUCAAUAUCCAUUAAUGUAAAAAGCAUAUAGAAAAAGGUAUAAACACAUACAAAUUCAUGUCAUGUUGACGGUCUUGACUAUAUUUCUAUAUUUCUUAUUGUUUUUAGUCAGCUUCAAGGUUAAAUGAUCAUUUUCUUAAUUUAAUCUCUAUGAAGCACUUUAAUGUAAGCAGGUUGUAAGUGAGAUGCAGAAUUAACGAAAAACUACUACAAAUACACAGUACAACAGACAUUUAGGAAAUGUUUUUAUGUUUAAAUGAAUUUUAGAAAGAUUAAUAUCAAUUUAUAUUAUGAUAUUAUUGCACAGAUGUUUAGGGAAAGUUACUUCAUGUUUUAAAAAAAAACCUUUAAAUGAAAUUGCAAUGGUAAAUAAAUGAGAGUUCUGACAACACUUUCAGAAGUAGUAUGAAUUCACAAGCGUACAUUAAAGCUGGACAGUUACUGAAUGUACAUCAUGGCAAAAAAAAUUACCAUUAUGAAACGAUGAAUUUCAAAUAAAAAGUUGUUAGCUGUAAUUUUGCUGAUGAAUGACAAACCAAACAAGUUCAUUUCUGGUGG